rnacentral:rRNA from 1 species
AUACGGAGGGUGCAAGCGUUAAUCGGAAUUACUGGGCGUAAAGCGCGCGUAGGCGGUUUGAUAAGUCGGAUGUGAAAUCCCUGGGCUCAACCUGGGAACUGCAUUCGAAACUAUUUGACUAGAGUAUGGUAGAGGUAAGUGGAAUUCCAGGUGUAGCGGUGAAAUGCGUAGAUAUCUGGAGGAACAUCAGUGGCGAAGGCGACUUACUGGACCAAUACUGACGCUGAGGUGCGAAAGCGUGGGGAGCAAACAGAAUUAGAAACCCCAGUAGUCC